GAUGAACGCUGGCGGCGUGCCUAAUACAUGCAAGUCGAGCGAACGGACGAGAAGCUUGCUUCUCUGAUGUUAGCGGCGGACGGGUGAGUAACACGUGGAUAACCUACCUAUAAGACUGGGAUAACUUCGGGAAACCGUAGCUAAUACCGUAUAAUAUUUUGAACCGCAUGGUUCAAAAGUGAAAGACGGUCUUGCUGUCACUUAUAGAUGGAUCCGCGCUGCAUUAGCUAGUUGGUAAGGUAACGGCUUACCAAGGCAACGAUGCAUAGCCGACCUGAGAGGGUGAUCGGCCACACUGGAACUGAGACACGGUCCAGACUCCUACGGGAGGCAGCAGUAGGGAAUCUUCCGCAAUGGGCGAAAGCCUGACGGAGCAACGCCGCGUGAGUGAUGAAGGUCUUCGGAUCGUAAAACUCUGUUAUUAGGGAAGAACAUAUGUGUAAGUAACUGUGCACAUCUUGACGGUACCUAAUCAGAAAGCCACGGCUAACUACGUG
rnacentral:rRNA from 1 species